GGCGCUUAAGCGCGCGAC
rnacentral:snRNA from 1 species